GGGGGAUAACUAGUCGAAAGAUUAGCUAAUACCGCAUACGACCUGAGGGUGAAAGUGGGGGACCGCAAGGCCUCAUGCUAUAGGAGCGGCCGAUGUCUGAUUAGCUAGUUGGUGAGGUAAAGGCUCACCAAGGCGACGAUCAGUAGCUGGUCUGAGAGGACGAUCAGCCACACUGGGACUGAGACACGGCCCAGACUCCUACGGGAGGCAGCAGUGGGGAAUUUUGGACAAUGGGCGAAAGCCUGAUCCAGCAAUGCCGCGUGUGUGAAGAAGGCCUUCGGGUUGUAAAGCACUUUUGUCCGGAAAGAAAUGGCUCUGGUUAAUACCUGGGGUCGAUGACGGUACCGGAAGAAUAAGGACCGGCUAACUACGUGCCAGCAGCCGCGGUAAUACGUAGGGUCCAAGCGUUAAUCGGAAUUACUGGGCGUAAAGCGUGCGCAGGCGGUUGUGCAAGACCGAUGUGAAAUCCCCGAGCUUAACUUGGGAAUUGCAUUGGUGACUGCACGGCUAGAGUGUGUCAGAGGGGGGUAGAAUUCCACGUGUAGCAGUGAAAUGCGUAGAGAUGUGGAGGAAUACCGAUGGCGAAGGCAGCCCCCUGGGAUAACACUGACGCUCAUGCACGA
rnacentral:rRNA from 1 species